GGAUUACGAAGGAAUAAAUUUGAUAUGUUAGCAAUCACAAGCGGGAACUGAAAAGAAAGGCUUCCUUAAUACGGUUCUUUUAGGCUAUAAUGGGAAAUAUGAAGAUAAAUCUGGCUCAGAGACAAACCCACAUAAGACUGCCACGAGCACACAGAAUAUAGAUCUCGGUUAUGAGAUGUGUAAAACACACAAUGGCCUGAAUCAGGAGCUAAGUAUAUAAGUGCAAACAAACCCGUUUUUAUAGUUAGCAUGGCAUUUUGAAUGGAGUUUUAAGCCUAAAGGACAGUAUCCUACUUGCAGAAGAAGAUGGGAAAUGUAACAUUCCAUUAUCUUGCUUUGGAUUUAUGGAAAUUCUGAACAGUGAUGUGAGAGUGACUACAGUUUGAAGUAUCUGUUAAAUACAGCAACAUGACAUCACAAGGAUUGUUUUGGAGUCUUCUGGAUAUGAGAACAUUAUAAAAGGUGAAAAAGUAGAACUGAAAUAUGAAGGGAGAAAAAGAGACAAACAUGGUUUCAAGUCUCACUUAGAGAAGAAGGAUUGUUUAUUUAUUUGAUGGAAAUUGGGUCAAUUGAAGACUCUGACACAGAGAAUAACGGUACCAGACCUGAGUCCAGUCUUAGCUUUAGUAGGAACAAAAUGUAUCAAUCAAAUUUAUAUAGGACCAAAUACCAGUGAAAGAAAUUAGACAUAAUUACUGAAAGAAUAAAUUACAUGAGAUAUUCACUGUACUUAGCCACAUGACAUGAAAACCUAUGCCCUUUAGAGCAAGCACAGUUCCAUGCAAAACUGUAGAGAAGUUUUCUCACCCCUUUUUCACAUGCUUCUCACAUUGUAGCACCCCUCCUUGAAACCAUCCUACUUCUACUAUCCUCCAGUUUCCUCUGGAUUUGAAUGUCCAUAUCAUGCUAUGGUCCUUCAGUCAGCUCCUGUGUCAGAAAUCAGGGCCCUGCUCUGGGCUCUUCCUUCAUCCUGUAACUAUAGUCAAAUAAGUCCUGUUAAGUCUACUUCCUUAAAAACUCUUAAUAAUCUCUUCCCCUUCUUCAUUGCCAUUGCCUAUUGCACCAUCUUAUUCAGAACACCAUUUUUCUUACCUAUAAUGUUGAAAGUAACUCUUCAACAGUCCUGUUGCGUGCUUUAUCCCAUUGCUUCUUAUAUAACAGAUGUGGUGAUAUUUAGCCUAUUUGUAGUUCCUUGAAACCAUCCUUUGUACUGCCAUCUAAGUAAUCUUUAAAAUAACAAGAUAAAUAUUUCUAUGACCUCCAUUGUCUAAAGCAAAUUUCCAAUGUAUAUUGUGAAAAAAAUGCCAAAGAGUUUCAUGACAAAUGCUAUAUACUAUAGUCUUGGGAGAGCCACAGGGUAAAUUAGUUCUAAAGAGCUCUCUUUGGUAGAGGAAACUGUUAAAAUGUGAUCAGCCUAAUAAGAUCAUAAUCAUAUGACUAUGAACUAUUUUAAAUGUACCUAUCAAUUUUUUCAACCUACUGUUUUGAAGUAUAUUCAAUCUAUUGUCUCAAGUAUAUUUUUCAAUGUACUUGAGAGUAUAUUGACCUGAAGAGAAAAGUCCAAACUCCUAUGACCUUACUAUUGUUCUGACCUCAUCUCUCACAGCUCCCUCUUAUUCCUGGUGUUCUAUCACAUGAUAAUGAAAUUUGACAGAACAGUAUUUAUGUUACUGGGGGUGUGGGGCAUUGAGGAAGCAUGGCAAAUGAGAGGGAAGUGGUAGAAAAAUGACUUUUAUCAUGUGCCUCUAAGAAGAGACAUAUAUGGAUUGAGAUCCACUUAAAAGGGAAAAGUUAAAAAAAAUCAAAACCCAAAAAUCACCACCAUUCUGUGGAUGUGGUAUAUUUAAUUGUCUAAUAAUAAUAAAUUUCCCACAAUGUCAGAUGUUAAGAGUACAAGAAAGAGUUACAAAAGGAAGAGGUUAGGGCAAUAAAUUGAAAAGUGAGUAGAGUUGAGGAAAAUGCUUUGCUAGAUUGCUAGAUUGAAGUUUUCUUCAAUCUAGCAAAAAAGGAGACAGGAGAAAAGGAGCAAAUUGCAAAGGCAAUGGAGGGGAGAUAACAUAGCUGAUUACUAAAGAGGAUAUUUGUGUACUUAUUUGUAUGGUGUGUGUGUGUACGUGUGUGUGUGUGUGUCUGUGUAUGUGUGGUGGUACUUGAAAGACAAAUUGGAUUAGGGUAGUAUUUUGAUUCUGUGUUCAAUUCUCUGAACAAUGACUCAGCUUGAUAGGCUAUUAAUGUUUAAUAGUCCCAUAUAUUUCUCCUAUGCUGUCUACAAGAAUAUCAUUCUCAUUAUAAAAUUUUGUGUAUCUCAUUUGUCUUACAUUUUCACAAAUAUAAAAAAAUACUUCUUUACUCACUCUACAGCUCUGUGAACGUUCAGAGUAAACCUUCUUAGGAUUACUUAUGGAAAAGAAAAGAAUAUUCACUCUAUCUUGUAUAUACAAACCAUGUUAACAUUAUUUCUAGAUAUAGAACUGGCUGCAUACGAUUUCAACUGUUAUUCUGAACAAAUUUAAGUAAUUCUUUAUUCUCAGCAUAUUGGCAACAUAGAAAUGCAUUUUAGAGGUGCAGAGGCACAGAGGGAAAUUUGAGCCAAAUGAAUCUGCUAGAUAUUUCUGCACAGUUUUCAUAAUUCAUUGUUAGGUCUGGCUUCAAGGAGGGCAAAGUUCACAUAUUUCUUUUUUAUAUUGAAAUAAUCACAAUAUUAUUUUUUAGUAAAAAUGUUUGAUUUUAUUCCAAAAAAUCUUUAAGUAAGGAGUAAGAUUUCUGCAUGAUCUGCGAAAUGAAGGUGGAACAGAAUAGAAGCCCUCUUCUGUACAAUGUCACCAAAACAUCCCGAAGUUUUAUCCUGCCUGGAAAAUUUCUUACACAUGAUUCUUACUGCUUAGCUUGAAAUUGCACCUAGGAAGAAGCUUUUGUUCUCAGUGCUGCCAAAACUUCCAUUUUUCAGCAGUGACCUCAGUUUAGCACCUGCUUAUAAGAUGUGUUUGCACAUCGUUGGUACGUUAUAGUGACAUACAUGUUCUCAUCUAGGAGAUUGUCAUAGAAUUCAAGAGAUGUUAACAUUUUUCCAUCUGUGUGUGUGAAAGUGACGUUUCCUGUUAAUUUUGUUCUCUUGCUGAAUUCUCUAAGCAAAAGCCUUCUGUGGGAGGGAGAAUGAUGUCAUUAUAGUCAUAGCAUAAAAAUUUUCAACCUUUAGAAUGAGACAUAUUGUGGCAUAUAUAUUACUACUUUUAAAAGCAGUGACACAAAAACUUGGAGGACGAUGAUAUCAAUUUUAUAUUUUCAGGUGUGGGGGUUUCCAGGAGACUUGAGAAUGACUCCAGGACUCAUAGUUCUCCUGGAACAUGGUUUUCCACUGUAGCCUUAGAAGAGGAAAGCCCAUCUAUGGAUACUUAUGUUUAUGAGAAUAGAGACUUGACUGUUUAAUGUCAGAGGAAUAGAGAGUUUGGCAAGCAGAACAAUCUAUCAGUGACGGCCUUUGGAAAAAAUGGGCUAUUUUUAGUAAAAGUUUUCAUAAUGACAUGAUUUAAAGUAAAAUAAAUUAGACUUUUGAUUUCAACUCUGUGUUAGAGUUCUCCAGAUAAAUGGAACCAAUAAAAAAUAUUUACAGGAAAUGGCUCACAUAUUAUGGUGGCUAAGAAGUCCUACGAUCUGCUGUCUUCAAACUGGAGAACCAUAAAUGUCAAUGGUGUAAUUCAGUCUGAAUCUGAAGGCCUAAGAACCAAGAGAAAUGAUGGUAUAAUUCCUGGUCUGAAUCCAAAAGCAGGAGAAGAUGUCCCAGUUCAAGCAGAAGGAAUAAAUUCAUUCUUUAUCUU
rnacentral:lncRNA from 1 species